rnacentral:rRNA from 1 species
UGGGGAAUAUUGGACAAUGGGCGAAAGCCUGAUCCAGCCAUGCCGCGUGUGUGAAGAAGGUCUUCGGAUUGUAAAGCACUUUAAGUUGGGAGGAAGGGCAGUAAGCGAAUACCUUGCUGUUUUGACGUUACCGACAGAAGAAGCACCGGCUAACUCUGUGCCAGCAGCCGCGGUAAUACAGAGGGUGCAAGCGUUAAUGGGAAUUACUGGGCGUAAAGCGCGCGUAGGUGGUUCGUUAAGUUGAAUGUGAAAGCCCCGGGCUCAACCUGGGAACUGCAUCCAAAACUGGCGAGCUAGAGUAGGGCAGAGGGUGGUGGAAUUUCCUGUGUAGCAGUGAAAUGCGUAGAUAUAGGAAGGAACACCAGUGGCGAAGGCGACCACCUGGACUCAUACUAACACUGAGGUGCGAAAGCGUGGGGAGCAAACAGG